AGGCCAGUAGCUUAAUUGGUAGAGUACCGGUCUCCAAAACCGGGUGUUGGGGGUUCGAGUCCCUCCUGGCCUG
rnacentral:tRNA from 1 species